UCCACUCUCUCCUUCUUCCUCCUCCAGUUUCUACAUCUCCGGCCAGAGCCCUUUGCGCGCACAGAGGACUAUGGCGAGCAGGCCUCCGGAACUCCGUCUGUCAGCAUACCUGCACGGGUAGGCGGGCGAUCAAGUUUUUGGGGAGCGCCUCUUCAGGCGCGACUGCUCCUGCAGCUCUUCUCCAACAAACGCUACUUCUCCACCGUCGCUGCCAUGGCGCAGACAAGACGUGGUGCUGCUGCUGGUGGCGGCAAUGACACUGAAAGUGGUUCUGGUGGAUCUCAUACUGCAGGCACCGAUACUGGUUCCACCCAAGGUGAGGACAGUAGCACAAGGAAGGGAAAGAGAAGAAAUGCCAUUGGCUCUUUUGGUUUGGCUCAGUUCCUACAUCUGAUGGCACACUUAUGCAUCUCUUGGUUUUAAGAUUCUUCAUUAUUGACUUGACCUAAGAGUCGUUGAGUCAUCGGAACCUUGAUGUGGUGUAAUAGUAAGCAGCUUUGAACUGGUCAAUCAUGACAGCUUGCUGGAGGACGAGCAUGGCUGCAUGGGUCCUUGUCUGUGUGACUUCUAGCUAGCUCCUUGCUGGACGUAGAUAAUUGGUUGGUGUGGUUUGGUUAUGGAAGUUUGCAAGUUUUCCAAGGGGCUCCUCUUCUGGUCAUCAGGCGAACUUUUCGCAUGCUUCUAAGUUCUACCAGAGUGAAGGAGUUUUUUUUCUCCUGUAGUUGCAUUGACAUCAGUUGCCGUGAAGCAAGGGGCACUGGACGUCUGGACGGAUGCAUAUACGGUUCCCAAAUUCUUUACUCUCCACUGGAACUUGUGCUUCAGUCUUUCCAGAAGAAUGGAAGCCAAGGCAGCUGAAAUAAUUGGUUUGAGCGUGAGGGUCAUAUGCAUAGUGCCUGAUUUAUUUACUCACCAAUCGGAUGAAGGAGGUUGAAAUUAUACAAGAAAAAGUUUGUUCACUUUUGGCCAAUUCCCCGGAUAUUUUAAAAUGUUCUUCUAUAUUCCAAGUAAUUUAGUUGGUUGUAGUUCCUCUUCUUCUUACAUUUAUUUCUUAUUUCCUUUUUUUUACCAAGCCUUUCGUUGAUCCUAGUUCCUCUUAUAUGCGCUUCAUAUUUUUUUCCUAUCCAUGUCGUGAUGGUGUUGUGGAUCGUACUAAGUGUUUCAUGGUCAUCCUUAUUUAAACUUUAUAUAUGGUGAACUGGCCGGUGAGGGUUUAUCGGUGGAGCCAUCUGCAGCAGGUAGCAGCCAGCACGAAGUUUCCCGUAUCAAGCAUGGCAACAUAUAUAGGCUGCACCCACAACGUGGGGAUUCCACAUCUCCGCGCCAGUAGGGUCCUGGAGCGAGAGCUGUAGGCAUAACUGGCCAGAAACUUGUACUGUACCAGUGGUGAUCUUAAUUGCUGAUUAGUGUUCUUGGCAUACCAAGACACUGUAUUGUCUCUGAUCUUGCUGAAACUUGAGUAGAUGGCCCUCAUAGUGUUGAGGAGCCCAAAGGGAUGUUUUGUUGAGCAUGAAUAAAUGCUGAGGACAGCAGCAGGAAAAAAGGGAAAGAUGCGAGGUGAUAAGAUAUAAGCUCUUCGCGAGUUCAUGGUCGAAACAUUCAUGGUGGUGUAGCAGUAGACUGCAACGAACUGGUCAUCAUGACAACUGGCUUGUCUCUGUACGAGCAUGGGUUGUGGUUGCUGGGUCCUUUUCCUGUGUGACUAUUGGGAGGUUCGCCGUAGAGACUGGAUUUAUUGUGAUUGGGUUCUGAAAGUAUGCAAUUCUUCCAAUGUGGUCCCUUUCUGUUCUGGUCAAGCCUAAUUUUUGGCAUGUCCGGCAAAGGUCCCCUUCACUGAGAGAUACAAGCAAAAUAGCUAUAUUUUUUUCUCAGUUUCUUCAAUA